GAUGAAGAACGUAGCGAAAUGCGAUAAGUAAUGUGAAUUGCAGAAUUCAGUGAAUCAUCGAAUCUUUGAACGCACAUUGCGCCCCUUGGUAUUCCGAGGGGCAUGCCUGUUCGAGCGUCAUUACACCACUCAAGCACUGCUUGGUAUUGGGCACUCGUCCGUCGAAAGACGGGCGUGCCUCGUAGACCUCGGCGGGGUUUCUCCAACUUCGGGCGUAGUAGAGUUAAAUCAAAACGUCUUAUAAGCUUGGUGAGAUCUCAUUGCCGUUAAACCUUUUUUUUUCAGGUUGACCUCGGAUCAGGUAGGGAUACCCGCUGAACUUAAGCAUAUCAAUAAGCGGAGGA
rnacentral:misc_RNA from 1 species